GCCCCGCAACGCCCAUAUGUGCCCCCAUAGCCCUAUUAGAGACAAGAGGAGGACCUCAUCCUAACCGAAGCUAAAAUCGAUUGCAUCAGAAAUAGGGGAAGAACCCCAUCCUAACACCAAUUAAGGUCUGGUCAUUCAGGACCAGAUAAGAAGAAGGGAACCUUCCCAGUGACCCCUUCGCGCUCCCGCGACCCCACCAAGAGCAAAGAGAAAACCCUCACUCGAAAAAAGAAAAAGGAAAGGGGAGGGGGGUGAAAAAGGAAAGCGAUGAACUGCAUCAGCGACGAAUGGAAAACAAAUUACAUCAAAGAUGCAGGGAACCUCGUCUCGAUGAGGAUUGGAGUUCUUAUCAAAAUCUCCGGCCUUCAAGAAGGCUCUCAACACAGGCCAAAGAUAAGGCGGCUUCCUCAGGGUGACGAGAAGCUCGGACCUCCGAGCUCGGACUCUGAAAAGAGGUAUCAAACUCGAAUGGUCCCGAACAAAUCAGUGGCCAUAAACAAAAGGAUGGCUUAAUGCAACGACAAUCGGGUACCUCCGAAUGGCAUCGAUAUCGGACAAGGCAAAAACCGAGGAAAGCUCGGCAAGU
rnacentral:lncRNA from 1 species